CGGGACGGGUGAGUAACGCGUGGGUAACCUGCCUCAUACAGGGGGAUAACAGUUAGAAAUGGCUGCUAAUACCGCAUAAGCGCACAGGACCGGCAUGGUCUGGUGUGAAAAACUCCGGUGGUAUGAGAUGGACCCGCGUCUGAUUAGCUAGUUGGAGGGGUAACGGCCCACCAAGGCGACGAUCAGUAGCCGGCCUGAGAGGGUGAACGGCCACAUUGGGACUGAGACACGGCCCAG
rnacentral:rRNA from 1 species